UUCGCUCAGAGGCCCAGAACUUGCAAAAAGCCCAACUGCAAAGCCCGGCUAGUCUCGGUGAAACCUUCCGCCGGCAGCGCCGGCGGCCACCGGCCAUGGCGGAGAGCCGGAGAGCUCCCCGGCGGUUGCUAACCUCCGGCGCCGUUGGAGACAGCGGGUAUAUAACUUAGUCAGCUCUCUUCUCGGAGAGGAUCCGUCCCCCCAAACCUACCUGCCGCUAUUACCGGAGUGCUGGUCGGUCUCGUGGAUGCCGGAAGAAAUUCAUCUGAGCCUAGGGAUUAUAUCGAGGCAUGACAGUGUCACCUUUGCUUGACCCAGCCGCACAAGCUUCUAGCUUCGCCUGCUGCUGGAAGUUGUUGAGAGAUUCCUCUUCCGACGUGUUUGACAUUGCUUGUAAGUCCAGAUACUGGUUGCAGAGGGUGCCAGCAAGGUGAAGGGGGAUGGUGAUUUAUGCACAACGGAAUGAAAGGGGCUGCAAUUAGACAAUAGGAAAAUGUUUCAUUAAACUUUCAGUCAGCAUCAAGGACUGCAAUUCUGCCGCUAUUUUUUAACUGAUGGAAUGCGAAUCUGAUUGCCUCAUCAGCACGAAUGUUCCGUUUAUUGUUUCUAUAGAUUUUGUCAGUAUCCUGAA